rnacentral:rRNA from 1 species
UACGUAGGGUGCAAGCGUUAAUCGGAAUUACUGGGCGUAAAGCGUGCGCAGGCGGUGAUGUAAGACAGAUGUGAAAUCCCCGGGCUCAACCUGGGAACUGCAUUUGUGACUGCAUCGCUGGAGUGCGGCAGAGGGGGAUGGAAUUCCGCGUGUAGCAGUGAAAUGCGUAGAUAUGCGGAGGAACACUGAUGGCGAAGGCAAUCCCCUGGGCCUGCACUGACGCUCAUGCACGAAGACGUGGGGAGC